rnacentral:rRNA from 1 species
GAUGAACGCUGGCGGCGUGCCUAAUACAUGCAAGUCGAGCGAAUGGAUUAAGAGCUUGCUCUUAUGAAGUUAGCGGCGGACGGGUGAGUAACACGUGGGUAACCUGCACAUAAGACUAGGAUAACUCCGGGAAACCGGGGCUAAUACCGGAUAACAUUUUGAACCGCAUGGUUCGAAAUUGACAGGCGGCUUCGGCUGUCACUUAGGGAUGGACCCGCGUCGCAUUAGCAAGUUGGUGAGGUAACGGCUCACCAAGGCAACGAUGCGUAGCCGACCUGAGAGGGUGAUCGGCCACACUGGGACUGAGACACGGCCCAGACUCCUACGGGAGGCAGCAGUAGGGAAUCUUCCGCAAUGGACGAAAGUCUGACGGAGCAACGCCGCGUGAGUGAUGAAGGCUUUCGGGUCGUAAAACUCUGUUGUUAGGGAAGAACAAGUGCUAGUUGAAUAAGCUGGCACCUUGACGGUACCUAACCAGAAAGCCACGGCUAACUACGUGCCAGCCGCCGCGGUAA